UUUACUUAUCUUUCUCCAAAAUGAUCCAACUUCAGUAAAGAACCUGGCUACUAUUAUGAAUGACUUUGGUAUGGUUUCUGGACUUCAGUUAAAUCAUGCGAAAAGUAAAGUAUAUAUGAGCCCUUACGUUGAGAAUAAGGUCUUUAUUGCACAAACUUUGGGGGUUAGUGAGGGAAGCCUGCCAGUUCCUUAUUUGGGUCUCCCGCUCAUAUCCACAG
rnacentral:lncRNA from 1 species